rnacentral:rRNA from 1 species
UACAGAGGGGGCAAGCGUUGUUCGGAAUUACUGGGCGUAAAGGGCGCGUAGGCGGCCUGUUAAGUCGAACGUGAAAUCCCCGGGCUCAACCCGGGAACUGCGUCCGAUACUGGCAGGCUUGAAUCCGGGAGAGGGAUGCGGAAUUCCCGGUGUAGUGGUGAAAUGCGUAGAUAUCGGGAGGAACACCAGUGGCGAAGGCGGCUACCUGGCCCACUCUCGACGCUGAGGCGCGAAAGCUAGGGGAGCAAACGGG